AACGAACGCUGGCGGCGUGGAUAAGACAUGCAAGUCGAACGGGACAAGUAGCAAUAUUUGUCUAGUGGCGAACGGGUGCGUAACACGUGGGCAACAUGCCUGGAAGAGCGGGAUAGCACGGGGAAACUCGGAUUAAUACCGCAUGUGACAACGGGGCGGAUUCGCCCUGUUUUCAAAGGUGGGGACCGCAAGGCCUGCCGCUUCCAGAUUGGCCCGCGUCCUAUCAGCUAGUUGGCGGGGUAACGGCCCACCAAGGCGACGACGGAUAGCUGGUCUGAGAGGACGACCAGCCACACUGGAACUGAGACACGGUCCAGACACCUACGGGUGGCAGCAGUCGAGAAUCUUUCACAAUGGGGGAAACCCUGAUGGAGCGACGCCGCGUGGAGGAUGACGGUCUUCGGAUUGUAAACUCCUGUCAUGAAAGAACAAGCGGAGCGGGUGAACAGCCCGCCGAGUUGAUAGUAUUUCAAGAGGAAGGGACGGCUAACUUCGUGCCAGCCGCCGCGGUAAAAC
rnacentral:rRNA from 1 species